UAACACAUCAUCAAGAUUAGAAUGAAACCAUCUAUAAAAUAACUCCAGCAAUGUAUUUCACUUUGUUGUUUCCAAGGCUAAGUAAAGCAUUUAAUUGCUGCAAAAUGAUUGGAUCACAUACGAGAUGGUGAAACGAUUUGGCCCUCAGUGGGGAUUUCAUCCCGUUUCACCGCGUGGGAAACAACGUCCGCGGGGUUUCACCAUGGUGAAACUACUUCCUUCUCUCUCAUCUUCGUUUCAUACAAAAAGUACAGUUUUGCUGACAUAACGCUCUAAUAAAUAUGUAUGACAUCCUAAUGAAACCUCCACUGAGACUGGCCUAAAUGAUUUGUAGACAUUGUCCAUAUUUUCAAUCCCGCGAAGUAAUUAAUUUCUAGGUGAGUGUUUACAUGUCACUACUAUAUUGCCCGUGCUAACACUACGGUGACAUUUAGAAAAAAAUUAUAAAACUAAAAUAAAUUAUAAAACUAAAAAACAAACCUACCCCACUAACCAAAAAAGUCUAUAUGAAAAUUAUGGUACUAAUUCAUUUGGGAACGUAUAUUUGGUUUUAACAAAUGCUAUGUAGAAAAGUUGAGAAACACAACUGAUCUAUAAAUGCACAUCACUUGUCUUGUAACCUUGGUAACAAGUCCAUAAAAAAUGAGAUACUUGAUUGUAGUUAGUGUAGGCGUAUAUCUGUCUUACUGGACAAACAAACAAGAAAAACAAAAUUGUAGAGAUCGAUUAAAGGAAUAAUAAAACAAAAAAUGUCUAACAAAAUCAGGCACCUAUCUUCAGUCUAUCACGCAAUGCCAAGAAGACAAGCAAACACUAAAUUAUACACAAGGCUAAAGGGAAAUUAAAAUACUCCUGUUCAGAAGUUUCAGAUGGUCUAGAUCAUUGUACAAAACUGCUCUACAUAGGAGAACAUACAGAUAGAAUUUAUUUAUUCUCCCAUCACGAAGAAUUUAUUUAUUCUCCUAUCACGAAUUAAGGGUGCAUAUAAAGUUGGCAUUCUAGUGUGUAACAUUAUAUUCUCUCCAUUUUUGGCUGGUGCUCACGCUGGUAGGACUAUCUGCCAAGUUCAUCAAAGUUUUAAGAAAUUUUCAGUCUUGAAUACUGAACCUGGAGCAAAACCACAAAUUAAGGCCCGACUAUUGAAGACUAAAUUAGCACCAACUUUUGUAAUUUAGGAACACAUUUACCAUGUCAAAACUUAGCAAUCACCAGAUAUAAUAUUUUACUAUAAGCAAUUUGUAUAAUUGUAAUGCAC
rnacentral:lncRNA from 1 species